AGGAAUGUGGUUCGGGGGCGGGGGCAGGGGAAGCAUCUCCAGCACGGCUUUCCCGUCCGGGUGCUGGGUGGGUGUAAACGGGGCGAGGCCCGCGGUGCCCGGAGAGGGGGUCGGUGGCCGUUUCUAUGGGGAUCCUGUCCUCCCCUUGGUUCCUACUCCUGCUCUAGCCGCCAGCCCAUUGGUGCCUGGGUGCCGCGGUGGGUUAGAGUCUGGAGGCCGAGCACAGUGAGAGCACAGGGCUGCCGAGGAGGCUGGCGCACUGCGGGGCCACAGGCCCAGGGCAGCCGGGCUGUCCCUCCAGAGGCCUUUUCCUCGCAUUCUGUGGUCUCGCUCCAGAGCCAAGCUGCUGCCUGGGCAGGUGCGCCCAGGACCAAGCCUCAGUUACAGCCGGUGACCCGGGAACCUGCACCGAAGGGUGGGAACCACCCGUUUUCCUCCAAUGCUGCUUGAAAUGACUCCACAUCUUACCAGGGUGACCUUGAGUGCUCACCGAUCACCAGAUUUUCGAGUGCAGCGAACUGCAGUUCUCCAUGAAAGAACCCCCUCUGCGUUGACACCACUUGCACACCUGCAGGAUCUACACUGUCCGGUGGAGUGGGGUCCGGUCGGGACUGCAGAUGUGGGGCCCCGCUGCAGGCGCAGGACUGACGCCGUCCGGUGUGACUCCCCCGGUCAGAGAGGAGUCACCGGAGCGCCGCACUGGCUUUCCCGGGCGCAGUGCCGGGACCUGUGCUUGCUUCCCUUGCAGGCGGGCAUCUGGACAUAGGUGAGUGGGGAAUCUGCAGCCUGGCUUUCAUGUUUCCAGCUUUGUCUGCACACGUGCAAUCGUUACAUGGUUUAAAUGGACAAAUUUUCAAACUUGUGAACGUUGGAACCAUUUAGGACCGUGGAAAAGGCUGGCUUUUCUGCCUCAUGCCUGCCCAGCGAGGGACGGUUGAACACUGUGGUGCUAUGUGUGCCUGGGAAGUAUCUGCUGGACUUUGUUUCUAAUGUGCACAGCUCCUCCGAGGUGCUUCCUGAAGCUAAAUCCUCAAUUAAAACUCCGCGAUCGUGCGGAAUCACCGCCAGGUGUGUGUGUCGCACACAAGGGGGAAGGUUGAGUUUCAGAGCUUGGCGUUGAUUUGUUUGUUCGGUUGAGUCAGUGAAAUGAAUUCUCAGUUCUCCAUUUCGUACACUGUUUACACAAAGUGAAUGAAGUUAUACAGGAAACGGCGGUCCAUGCAUGGUCUGAGUGGGGAGCAUGUUACAGGCAGGCGUUGGGGUGAGCGCCGGGCAGACCUGAGUGUGAGAGCCACCAGGACGCAACAGGCACCGGAACAUGCUUCCUGCGGGACUGAGCCACACUCCGCCUGCUGCCCUCGACAGCAGCUGCUUGACGUAACCAGCCGAGUGUCUCCUCAGCUUGGGCUGGUGGACGCUGGUGGGUUCGAGUUCACAUGUGCUGCGCUCCAGCUGUGUUGCCAGGGCUGUGGAGUCACCUGCAUGCACUGGCUGCGCAGGUCUUCAGGGAGGCGCCUUCGACUUGCAGGUGGAGGUCUCGCUUUCCUCGUGGGCGCCAACGUGGAUUGCUCUCCCGGAGGCCCUGGACUGAGCGGGGGUUCCGUCUCUCCUCCGGAAAUGAGGAGUGGGGGAGCCACGUGGUGUCGCUUCAGCUCACUGACGUCAGGUCAAGGUGGCCCCUGAGGCUCCUGCUUUUCCUUUGGGCCCCGGGAGAAGACAGAGGAAGCCCACAGACACGCCGCUUUGCGUGGGCUCCCUUUUCAAGCUUCCGCGGCCGCCCAGCAGCCUUAGCUUC